rnacentral:miRNA from 1 species
ACUUCCCAGCAUCCCUGUUUCC